GAGGCGUAUUAUAUUCGGGAGGUGCGGCUCCUCUCGCGCUCUCGGAGAAAUGUACGGGUAGAUAAUGAAAACCGCAGAAAAUGAAUUCCCAAAGAGACGAUAUAAUAAUUGUAUUAUACUCUGAAUUUUCGAGUCGACAUUUUCUUCUUUGCGUGACGUUAUGCUCGUAUUUCUUCAUAUUAGCGGCUGUUCCGGCGGUCGAAAUCCGCCACACUCGUGAAAUCGAAAACCGACGGAUACUUUAGUUCCGCCUCCGCCAUAAUAACUCCAAACCCAACCCAAUUUACGUGGCCCGUUUGAUAUUCCGUAUCUUUAACGUGUCGUUACACGUAAAAGAGCAUUGCAGUGAAAUAUUAUACGUAUAUAGUAAUAAUAAUAUUACGGCUCGGGCAGUCGCCACCGUCUUUUCAGUAUACACGCGAUAUCGAGCAAAUGUUCAGACUUUUUGCCGACAUGUGGCACCCGCCUCGCCGUCUUUCUCUGCACUGUACGAUAUAAUCAUCGUAAUAACAAUAUGCAGUAGU